CUGUCCACAUAUUAUAAGAUGAGAUGAGAUGAAAUUAAUAAAUUGGGUGCUUAGAUGAGAAGAUUCUAAGCAAAGUUAGAACUGUUGAACUGUGGUAAAGGUUCACAUUGACAGCUAAUUACUUAUAGCUCAUAUAUUAGAUAUCAAGGCUCUGUUUAGUUGGAGUUUGUCCUUGUUCUCAAGUGAUGAAGAUUCUGUUUCUCAUUUGAGUCUUUGCUUGUCCAUUUUGUUGUUUCUAUUUGGCAUUGAAUUGAGAGAACAUAAUUUAUGAUUGUUAAGUAUUCAUCCAUUCGAAUAGACCCAGACUAUAUUACUAGUUACAAACUUAUGGGUGUAUUUGGUCCUUUUUUCGAAGACACUCAUGAUGAUUGUGCUCUGUCUUCCCAGUUUUAGCCUGAGUUCUGGCAUACUCAUAACUUAUGAUCUACCAAAUUCUGGUACCUCGCACCCUUUACUACUGGUCCUUUCGUUUGAUUCUUAUCUUUCGAAAGUAAAUUGUAUUAGGUUCUUGACAUAAAACUUUGCUUACCAGGGCAGUAGAGAACGGGAGUAGAGGAGUUCCAGACAGGUGUAGGACAUACUAUAUAAGUGUGAAAUCAUGCUUCUUAUAUUGAUAAUAACCUUGAAUGGUGGGAAAAUGCUUGAUGCCGUGCCGUCAACUGCUUGUUUGAGCUCUUCUUAAUGGAAUGAAGACAAAGAAUGCAGUGAGUACUUGGGGUCCUAGGCUUAAAGUAGCCAAAUAAUCCUAAAUCUAUAUGGUUGUAGGAGUAGGUCAUAGAAUAAAUAUGUUGUCCAUUCCUUUAGUGCUACUUCCACUAUGGAUUGUCUCUUUCAAAUGUAAGCACCUAUCCGCUCCUUGUUUCAUUAUAAAUCAUGUGGAGCUGAGAAUUUGUUUGUGCAUUGGACAUUUGUGCUAAAGAAAUGGAAGCUCCAAUGAAAUAUGUCUGCUUUCUAUUGUUUCUUGUUAUUCUGGGAAUUUCUUGGUUUAAUGGAGUCAAUGGGGCUGGUGAGUGCGGAAAUCAUCUCCCCAACAUGGAAGCAUUCGAGUGGCUCCGUGUGCAUCAGCGGCAUAGGACAAGAAUGCCUCGGUUUCUAACCAGAGCUGCGCUCAGGUGAAGAAACUUGGCCAGAACCCCCUCUGGCUUUGUGCUGUCAUGCUGUCCAAUACAGCUAAGAGUUCUGGACUCCGACUAUGGAGCCAAUCCAGAAGUUGCCAUUACCAUUCCCAGAUGCUGCAACAUCGCCGAUGGUUCAGUGGGUUAUUAAGCGUGCUUCUUAUACUUUGCAGUGAAGAAUUAACACCAUGGUCUGCAGUGCGUGUGGUGGUCUUACAAUGCCGAAGAAUUCACCUUAUAUGCAUAUCUAUUAAUGUACUAGCUAGAGCAUGAAUCCUGGUAAGUACUUUGCCUGCUACUAUCACUACUGUAACUUCCACACAUCUGAAAGAUGAUAAAAAAAAAUCUGUUUCCACAAUUAGUUGCUAGUUCUUGCUCAUAUGUUCUUCUGGUUUCAAUCGUUCGUUUGUCGUAAAUGAUCCGAUAACAGGCUAAGCUAAGCAAGCAUGUUUUCUUAACUGAACUUUGUCAGGAAGUUUUGGUUGUACACAGUUACUGAUGUAUAUAUAUAUAUAUGGAUUUUGUUAUACAUAUAUAUAGAGCGAAGAUGA